GAUGAACGCUGGCGGCGUGCCUAAUACAUGCAAGUCGAGCGAACAGAUAAGGAGCUUGCUCCUUUGACGUUAGCGGCGGACGUGUGAGUAACACGUGGGUAACCUACCUAUAAGACUGGGAUAACUUCGGGAAACCGGAGCUAAUACCGGAUAACAUUUGGAACCGCAUGGUUCUAAAGUGAAAGAUGGUUUUGCUAUCACUUAUAGAUGGACCCGCGCCGUAUUAGCUAGUUGGUAAGGUAACGGCUUACCAAGGCGACGAUACGUAGCCGACCUGAGAGGGUGAUCGGCCACACUGGAACUGAGACCCGGUCCAGACUCCUACGGGAGGCAGCAGUAGGGAAUCUUCCGCAAUGGGCGAAAGCCUGACGGAGCAACGCCGCGUGAGUGAUGAAGGGUUUCGGCUCGUAAAACUCUGUUAUUAGGGAAGAACAAACGUGUAAGUAACUGUGCACGUCUUGACGGUACCUAAUCAGAAAGCCACGGCUAACUACGUG
rnacentral:rRNA from 1 species